rnacentral:rRNA from 1 species
UACGUAGGGUGCGAGCGUUAAUCGGAAUUACUGGGCGUAAAGCGUGCGCAGGCGGUUCGUUAAGUCAGAUGUGAAAGCCCCGAGCUCAACUUGGGAACUGCAUUUGAAACUGGCGGGCUGGAGUGUGGCAGAGGGGGGUGGAAUUCCACGUGUAGCAGUGAAAUGCGUAGAGAUGUGGAGGAACACCGAUGGCGAAGGCAGCCCCCUGGGCCAACACUGACGCUCAGGCACGAAAGCGUGGGGAGCAAACAGG